UAUGUGUGUGUGCGUGUGUGUGCAUGUGUGUGCGUGUGUGCGCGUGUGUGUGCGUGCACACACACACACGCUCUCACACGCACAUG
rnacentral:miRNA from 1 species